GGGGAGGGUGCGCGUACAAUGUACAGAAUAAAUACUGUGUAGCAUGAGAAAAAAAAUUACGUCUUCUGGAACAAUUCGAAGAGAGUUUCUAUCUUGUCUGCUUCAUCAUCCACAAUCUCCUCUGCAUCAGUGACCAGAACUUCACUGUUUCUGAAGGAUAAUUCAUGACCUGGUUGGUUUGUAGUUUCAACAAUGCAAUCUUCUUGGUGAUCAUUAGACAGAACCUUCUCAUCUAGGUGGUUAAAUGAGCCUCUAGAGGAACA
rnacentral:misc_RNA from 1 species